AUCCUGACACAGGGAGGUAGUGACAAGAAAUAACAAUACAGGGGUAAUGUCUUGUAAUUGGAAUGAUGGUGACCCAAACCCUCACCAGAGUAGCAAUUGGAGGGCAAGUCUGGUGCCAGCAGCCGCGGUAAUUCCAGCUCCAAUAGCGUAUAUUAAACUUGUUGCAGUUAAAAAGCUCGUAGUUGAAUUUUAGCGUGUUCGAGUUUGCCAUUCGUUUGGCUUUUUCGAGUUCGCUUUUGGGUUUUCCCUUUUUACUUUGAGAAAAUUAGAGUGUUUCAUGCUAGACUUUUGUCUUGAUAUCCUUUAUCAUGAAAUAAUUGAGUAGUACUUAGAUUCAAUGUGGGGUUAUAAAAC
rnacentral:rRNA from 1 species